rnacentral:rRNA from 1 species
GAUGAACGCUGGCGGCGUGCUUAACACAUGCAAGUCGAACGAAGCACUUAAGUUUGAUUCUUCGGAUGAAGACUUUUGUGACUGAGUGGCGGACGGGUGAGUAACGCGUGGGUAACCUGCCUCAUACAGGGGGAUAACAGUUAGAAAUGACUGCUAAUACCGCAUAAGACCACAGCGCCGCAUGGUGCAGGGGUAAAAACUCCGGUGGUAUGAGAUGGACCCGCGUCUGAUUAGCUAGUUGGUGGGAUAACGGCCUACCAAGGCGACGAUCAGUAGCCGACCUGAGAGGGUGACCGGCCACAUUGGGACUGAGACACGGCCCAAACUCCUACGGGAGGCAGCAGUGGGGAAUAUUGCACAAUGGGGGAAACCCUGAUGCAGCGACGCCGCGUGAAGGAUGAAGUAUUUCGGUAUGUAAACUUCUAUCAGCAGGGAAGAAAAUGACGGUACCUGACUAAGAAGCCCCGGCUAACUACGUGCCAGCAGCCGCCGUAA